ensembl:snRNA U6 U6 spliceosomal RNA
GUGCUCACUUUGGCAGCACAUAUACUAAAACUGGAAAGAUACAAAGAUUAGCAUAGCCUGCAGACAAGGAUGAAACACAAAUUUGUGCAGCAUUCCAUAUUUUU